GUCGAUUGAGCCUUCUUAUCCCAGCUUCCUUGAACUUUUGGUUGUGAGUGGCAAAGACCUAAAGUCAGGUACAUUUCCUUAACUGUCCCCUAAAGUAUUGGUCCUUAAUUCCUGUGAACAACUGUAAUAAGCUGCUUUUUGAAGGUCAUUUACACCUGCAUUGCUAAGGUAUUCAGUGCCAUAAAAAGAUUUGACAAAGCACUACUCAUCUGGGCAGAAUUUUAAGCAUGACAUUAACUGUGUUUAACUCUGCUUGGUAUCAGUGGGGCUCACAAUGAGUUCUGAAUGUUUCACUGAAUAAGGAUGGAUUCAAGCAGGUGCAUAUUGUUAAGCAGGCACAUAAGUACCUAAGAGAGAUAAAUGGAGAGAGUUACAGAGCAGCUGGUAUCUCUGCUGUCCUAUCAACGCGAUUCCAUUUGGUGAGCAGGUAAAAAGGGAAAGAAACCAGAAAAGAGAAAAACUAGAUUAAAUUAAAGGAUGAGAGACAAAUAGGUGUUUCCUGGGCAUGUUCAGAGUGAUGCAUUGAUGCCUUUUGAUGGAUUUCCUCGUGUGGAUGUGUCCUCUCUUUGGUGCAGGCUAUGUUACGGUCAUGAAAUGUGGUCUAAUAGAAGGAUCAUCAAGAGUGCUUCAAGCAAAAUGUGUUAAAUCACAAUACACAGUUACUAUUAUAACUCCAAUUGAUAAUCUGCUGUGCCUGCAAGAACUUUGCCAAGCUGGGAGCACAAAGCAGAACUCCUCAUGCCAAGACCUGAACUGUCCCCAAAGGACCAUACAGAGCUAUGGCCUUGGCUCCUGGAGAACCACAGCAGCUCCAAGGUGUUCUCAACACUAUCUCUUGCCUGCUGUAUGGACCAGAAGCUAA
rnacentral:lncRNA from 1 species